rnacentral:rRNA from 1 species
GACGAAGGAUGCAAGCGUUAUCCGGAUUCAUUGGGUUUAAAGGGAGCGUAGGUGGCCUUAUAAGUCAGUGGUGAAAUCUCUGGGCUUAACCCAGAAAUUGCCAUUGAUACUGUAGGGCUUGAGUAUAGAUGCCGUUGGCGGAAUAUGACAUGUAGUGGUGAAAUACAUAGAGAUGUCAUAAACACAGACUACUGAGAGCAGCUAACGAAACUAUAACUGACACUGAGGCUCGAAAGUGUGGGGAUCAAACAGG